AUAUGCAUUAAUAUAUGAUAUUUGUUUUUCUCUUUCUGCCUUACUUCACUCUGUAUGACUGACUCUAAGUCCAUCCAAAUCUCUAUAGAUAGCCCAAUUUUGUUCCUUUUUAUGGCUGAGUAAUAUUCCAUUGUGUGUAUGUAACACAUCUUCUUUAUCCCUUCAUCUAUUGAUGGAUAUAUGGUCACCUAAUCUAUAACAAGGGAAGCAAGAAUAUGCAAUGGAGAAAAGACAGUCUCUUUAACAAGUAGUGCUGGAAAAACUUUAUAGCUACAUGUAAAAGAAUGACAUUAGAAUACUACCUAACACCAUACAUAAAAAUAACCUCAAAAUGGAUUAAAGACCUAAAUCUAAGACCAGACACUAUAAAACUUUUAUAGGAAAACACUCUUUGGCAAAAAUCACAGCAAGAUCCUUUUGGCCCACUUCCUAGAGUAGUGAAAAGAAAAACAAAAAUAAACAAAUAGGACCUAAUUAAACUUAAAAGCUUCUGCAUGGCAAAGGAAACCAUACACAAGAUGAAAAGAUAGCCCUCAGAAUGGGAGAAAACAUUUGCCCUGACUUUUUGGCCUCAGCUGUGUGAUUUGCUUUGGCCAAGGGGAUGCAAGGCAAGGCUUUACAUGUGUCUGAGUGUUGGGGGUGCCCUCUGGUGCUUUUGCCUUGCAGGAGGAUAUGCCCUGCAAGGCUACUGCUGAAAGCAGGAGAGACGUAUGAGGCUGACCUGGAUCCCACCAGGAGUCCAGAACCAAGCCCUGCUGAGCUCAUGCUAGAUCAGCUUGCCCCCAGACCACCAACAGGUUCUGCCUAUUGGGAAAAGAAUUUCUAG
rnacentral:lncRNA from 1 species